UUGGGCCUUGUGGGGAAAAAGGGCGGAGGGGUCUCACACUCUCGUCGUCUUUCACAGCUCACGAACAGCUCACUUCGUUCUCAGACCGAAACCCCAACCAGUCGCUGCGUUUGUGUUCCAUUCUUCUUGCUCCGGCGGUCACCAGCUCGCCGUGCCAAGCCGGAGGCAUGAUGCUUUGAGUUAACAUUUUGGUAUUUCCUGAUGUUGGAGACGACAAAGUUUUGACGUUUACAAAGUGGAAUGGAGAUGGAUGCGUUGAAUUUAACUUUCUUAAGUUCAUUACUAAGCUGUUGAACUGUUUUAUCAAGGUCAAAUUUUUUUACUGAUAUAGGGCUGUUCGAGCACCCAAUUGAAAUUCAAUUACUCUAUGAUUGGGUGUAUAUGAGUUUCAGGCAUUAAAAUUGAAUUUGCGUGGAUUUGGACAAAAUGUAGAAUAAAAUUGUAUUGACUUUCUUUCAAAUUUACUAAAUUCGGGUUCAAAAUAUUUAAUGGAUGCUCCCAAACACCACCUUAGAGCGAUGAAAAUUAGGUGAAAUCUAAAUAAAAUUUAUCCUGGUUCUUGGUUAGUUUUAUUGGAAUGCAUUAUUUAGUGCUUGAAAAUUUUAAAUCUUGAAAAUUCAAUGAGAACAUAUUCCAUUGAAACAUUAUCAAGUGUCUGCUUCCAUUUGGUUUUGUGGAAAAAUGCUGUAUUGUAAUUUUAUUUUCUUUUAGCCAGAAAAAGUGAUGCAAAUUUAUUCAUUAAAAUGCUAUUCACAACAAAUGCAUUGAUUAAAUUUAAGUGGGAUGAUUAACGCGUGCUCAUUGCAUGCAUUUUUAAUAAUUGAAACCCAGAACCACAUUUUUUUUAGCUUGCUGCAUUUGAUUGCCAUUUACUAAGUUAUGAAUAUGAAUGCAAUAGGUAAGCAUAUUGUUUUAUUUUAGUUUUUUCCUUCAAUAAACAAAGCCAUGCGUGUUUCUUUAGGUCAAUCGACUAUUGAUGACAUAGUAAGCAUGUAAAAGUUUUUAAGGUAAGAAUGCUUUAUGUUGUGGAUAGAGUACCUUUCUUCGUUUUAUUGCCUGUGUAGAUCUUGCAAACUUCAAUUGUUUGGAUCAAGCAUUUUGUUAGAGGAAAUGAAAGGAAAACAAGAGGUAAUUAAGCUGGAUUUGGUUAAAAAAAAAAAUUAUAAUUGUAUUUUGUUUCUAGCAAUUAAUCCUAAAUAAUUUCGGUUAAAAUCGGUUAACCGAAUUACCUGAAUUUGCAAUUCGGUCUGGUCGGUUCGGUGUCAUCCAUCAGUUCGGUCGGUUUGGUUAACAGCACUAUUUAACUGAAUUUUUCGGUUAAUUCGGUUAAUUACCCAAAUUUGGCCGAAUCGACCGUUUGCUCACCCCUACAUGCAGAGACGUUUUAUACCAAAAUGCCGCGUUUACCUUGCUCCUUCGGCCACCUUCUAUCGAAGACGAGCAGGUCUAGUUCCUUCGGCGAAGACUUGAACCCUAGCACACGCGAUCCCAUACUCCUAGCUUUUGAUCCUCUACCCCAGCCUCCUAGCCUUCUUGGCCAGACAUUUUAGCCUUCGUCGACGUCGAUCUUGACUUCUGUCGAAGGCUUGAGGGAACUUCUUUGCUCGAGCCCCUCUCUGUUUGCCGAAGAGCUCACCUUAGUACUGGCGACACUCCUUUCAGCCUCUUCUCUCUCGAAGGCUCGAAGGCUCUUCUUUGCUUAAUGUGAGUCCCUCCCUCCUUCAAUCCCUCCCUCUUCUCCAUCUCCUUGCCUGUUUUGAACUUUUACUAGUUCGGAACCAUUGGAGUGCCCAAGCACAAAUUUGAUGUUUCUGUGUUUGAAUAGUUAAAUACAGAAUUGAUGUUAACACAUCCAGUGUUUCAAAAUCGAAAGUUAAAAUGGGGGACUGUCCAAGCACAAAAAGUGCAUCUUCAGUGUGUAGUGUGCUUGCGAUGCCUUCCUCCCUAGGACCCCCACUGGCCCACUACCUAUUAUUUUGUAUAUUUGUUUUUAAAAAAUUGAUGGAUGAUGAUAUUGAUAUAUUGAUGUCAAUAAUUUAAUAUUAAUUGUCAAAUUAUCAAUAUUAUUAUUGUUACCAUGUUAUAAAACUAUGGAAAUAUGGAACUUGGACUGCUGUCACUGCUCUCUUGCUUAAUUGCUAUUUGCUUAACUUGAUAAAUGGAUCACAAUAUGGCUAUUAUGUCAAUUUUUGAUUUUUUUCGUUUAGGAGGAAAAAAAUGCCUAAAUAUAUAUUUUUUAUAUUAGUUAAAUAACCCUGCAAUGUCAUAUCCUUGUUUUUACAAAAUGGCCAGAUCACUGUCCGUAUUGUGUUGUACCUGUUUCCCUUGUUGGUAUAGGUGUUCGUCUUCUUUUUCUUCUCUCUCUAGGAGCUUGGUAGACCAGUCAUCAAUGAAGGUAAAGCUCAUGUGGGUGAUUAGAGAGAACCAUGAUUGAAGUUUAUCCUGAUUUUCCGAUGCUAAUGUAUAUUUAUUUUCAGUUUUAGCACUAGGGAUGCUAGUUUUCUGCGAAUCAGCCUCAGUAGAUUGAGCAACUCUUCUAGUUUCCUACUUCUAGUUUCCUAGUUUGUGUUUAUAUUUGUUUAUUUCCCUUAAUUCUGGAAAAAAAGAGAAAAGAAAAGAAAUCAAAUUUAUUUUGACACAUACAAUUGGAAUAUUUUGCAGGUUUGGUUUUGCUUUGGAUUUUUUUGGUAGUUAGUGUGUAGAAUGGUCUGUAGAUUAUCAACCAAGUUAUUGAAUAUAUGCAUAUCAUGUUUCUGUAAAUCCCGCCAACUGGAGAAAGCUGAAACCGUUUUAAUUGAUGGUAUAAGAUUAGGAGUGCUCCCGAAUGUUGUAACUUACAAUACAUUGGUUGAUGCCUAUUGUCGGUUUGUUGGAAUUGACGAAGCUUAUGCUGUUCUUCAUAGAAUGCGAGAAGCUGGGAUACGUCCGGAUGUUAUUACAUACAAUUCCUUGAUAGCUGGUGCCUCUAGGCAUUCCCUGUUAUCACGAUCCUUGGACCUGUUUGAAGAAAUGCUUCAAAUGGGUAUCCCUCCUGAUUUGUGGAGUUACAACACAUUGAUGCAUUGCUUCUUCAAAGUGGGAAAACCUGACGAGGCCAACAAGGUUUUUCAGGACAUUUUCAUGAGCAGUCUUUCUCCAUGUCCAACCACAUUUAAUACCAUGAUUAAUGGCCUCUGCAAGAAUGGAUAUAUGAGUAAUGCUUUAAUGUUAUUCAGGCAUCUACGGAGUCGUGGAUUUGAUCCUCAAGCUAUAACAUACAAUAUUCUUAUUAAUGGACUUUGUAAGGCAGGUAGGUUGGGGGCAGCUAGGUGGAUCCUCAAGGAGCUUGGGGAAUCAGGGCAGGUGCCGAAUGCCAUAACUUACACUACAGUGAUGAAAUGUUGCUUUAGAUCCAGGAGGCUGGAACAAGGGCUUGAGAUUUUCUCAGAGAUGAAAAGUAAAGGUUAUGCCUUUGAUGCCUUUGCAUACUGUACAACCAUUGGUGCUUUAGUUAAAAUGGGGAGGAUGGAAGAGGCAAAUGAUUUCAUGGUACAGAUGGUGAGGAAUGGUAUAAAUCUUGAUAUAGUUUCAUAUAACACCCUGGUUAAUCUGCACUGUAAAGAAGGUAAAUUUGAAGCGGCUUAUGAGUUGCUGGAGGAGAUAGAGAAGGGAGGAUUGGAAUGUGACGAAUAUACUCACACCAUUCUGAUUGAUGCAUUGUGUAAGGCAGGCAAUUUUGAGGGGGCUUGGAGACAUAUAGAUUAUAUGAACAUGAUGGGCCUUGAUUCCAACUUAGUUGCUUUCAAUUGUAUGAUUGAUGGGCUGUGUAAAGCUGGUCAGAUUGACUAUGCAAUGAAGGUGUUUGAGUCAAUGGUGCUGAAGGAUUCUUUUACCUAUUCUUCCUUAGUGCACAAUCUUUGUAAAGCAAGGAGAUUCCUAACUGCAUCCAAGCUCGUCCUCUCUUGCUUAAAAAGUGGCACGAAAAUUCUCAGGUCUGCUCAGAAUGCUGUCCUUAAUGGCCUUCGUAAUUCAGGGUUUACAAGACAAGUGAAGAAGCUACGGAGAAAAAAUCAACAAGCAAGGAUUUUGCAUUUUUGAUUGCUAUGAUCUUUAAUCACUCACUGGAAGUUAGGAUCUUGCUAAUGCUAUUAAAUUAGCAGAAGUCAUCUUGCUGCAAGGAUAAAUCUUUUUUGGGAACCAGUGGUAAUGGAUCUUUCUCUACCAAGACAUUGGGGAAGCUUGGAUGUUAUAAACACUUUUCAAUCAUUUUUUCAGUGUGUACAGCGAGGCGAAUGUUUCAAAGAGCCUGGUUGCACUAUUCUGAAGCAGUUUUACUACGAAGAGUUGGAAGAGAGUAUUGGUUGACCGUCAGCAUUGCAGUCACUUUGCUUUUGUGUGCGCCAAGGUGAUUUGGGUGGCAUGUUUGGGAGCUGGUGUAGACUGUGCUUCACAGAGCAAACAUUUUUGUAAAUAGAAUGUAUCCUCUUGUGAGUGUUGUUUAUUCUAAUUUCAAAACAAAUUAUAUACAUAUUUUUGUUUUGGUUUGAAAUUGGGCUUAUUAAAGAAACAUACACUAUAGUUGGUCCAAAUGAGAGGAGAAAGGAAGGGAAGAUAAGUGCAAAUAAA